UGUUACAGCUGUUUUAGGGUCCUAUCCGCUCUGCCGUAGUAUCCCCCCGAGCUUCAUCUAAGGCUACUCUAUAGCAACCUAGUGCUUUGCUAUGUACCUAUAGGAAACAAGAGCCCCAAAACAUGUCUACACAUGUGGUACUCUUACUUUUGGAGGAGACUCUGGUUUGGACUUUGGAUGGCUCGUCUUCAAGGUGGAUUUCAUCGCUCUGGAUACAACAGAUGUCACCGCUACAACUGUCUCACUUGUGACCAUGAUGAGAAGUUUUCUGGCGACGGAAAUCCCGAAAGGAGAGUUUAAACUGGUGGUGAUAAGUAAUUCAACAAAAUAAAGACCACAAAUCCACAGUGCUCAUCCAGGAAGAGUGAGAAGCCAUAGAGCCAACCCCAGGAUCAACACAUCCUCUGGAAAUACACAAAUUAUACACUGCAUAUAUCAGAUAACUAACUAGAAGACCAUAGUUUGUAUCCAAAGCAAUAUACAAAGAACUACAGCUUUAGAGAUGAGC